GCCUGAGCGAGGAGGAGAGUCGGCAAGCACAGAAGGGGAUGUUGAGGUGUUGGGCCAAUAGAAAUCAGAUGGACGAUUGAUUGGUUAAGCGGAACGACGAAACAAGAUCAUCUGUCACAAUGAAGAAGAGCAGGGUACUAGAGGGGCUUGAGUAAAGAUGGUUUAUGAAACAAUAUGAGCAGGAAGCAUGACGCAGAAUUCAUCGGGAAGGAAUAAUUUAAAAAAGAAGAAAGCAGAGAGACCUUGAUUGAGAUCAGAGAACAUCUGCAGGUUACUUGAUCAUCCUGGUAGGACAAAUUCAUUAAGCAGCAUUCAGGACACAAGAUUAGAAGCACAGAGAGAGAUGGAAGGAGAGGAGGAAACAGUAAUGAGUUCAUCAUGAAGACAUAACCAAUCAGAAAUACUGGAUCUAAAAUAUGAUUCAUCUCUGUGGAUAACUAAGAUGAGGAAACUGACACCCAGAGAGAAGCAGCAGCCCAAGGACUCAGGUGUACUGAGGCUUUUCUCAGGGUUAUUCAAGGUUUACCUGAACAGCAUUGACCUUCAUCAAGAAGCGUGUGGUCUCCAUGAAGAUACUGCUGGAUUUGGGGGAAACUCCAUGAAAGGCUGGGGAAGCCAGAACGGAUGUUGACAUAUGACCUUUUGAACCUGAAAAAAAACACACGAGAAGAGAAAGGGAAAGGAGAGGAAAGACCUGAGAAGCAGACAAGUGAGAAUAAAGCAGAGACUGUCCAUGAGAAAGGGCACCAGAGAAACUGAGACUGAAAGGCAGAAGACUCCUUUAAAUAUCAAUUCUUAAAGUCCUAAAUCCUGACAGUCAAAAAUUCUUUUGUGUGCGAUGUCACACUUUUAAGUUUAAUCUGCAAGAACAUUUUCUUAAGUACUUCCUUGCGUCUCCACAAACAAGAAAACAAUAAAUCAGGUUUGGUUUGUG